UACGUAGGGUGCGAGCGUUAAUCGGAAUUACUGGGCGUAAAGCGUGCGCAGGCGGUUCGCUAAGACAGAUGUGAAAUCCCCGGGCUUAACCUGGGAACUGCAUUUGUGACUGGCGGGCUAGAGUAUGGCAGAGGGGGGGUAGAAUUCCACGUGUAGCAGUGAAAUGCGUAGAGAUGUGGAGGAAUACCGAUGGCGAAGGCAGCCCCCUGGGCCAAUACUGACGCUCAUGCACGAAAGCGUGGGGAGCAAACAGG
rnacentral:rRNA from 1 species